UAUAAGCACUUGUACUGUGAAACUGCGAAUGGCUCAUUAAAUCAGUUAUCGUUUAUUUGAUUGUACUUUACUACAUGGAUACCUGUGGUAAUUCUAGAGCUAAUACAUGCGAAAAAUCCCCGACUUCUGGAAGGGAUGUAUUUAUUAGAUUAAAAACCAAUGCGGGUUUCGGCUCGUUUUCUUGGUGAUUCAUGAUAACUUUUCGAAUCGCAUGGCCUUGCGCCGGCGAUGUUUCAUUCAAAUUUCUGCCCUAUCAACUGUCGAUGGUAAGGUAGUGGCUUACCAUGGUUGUAACGGGUGACGGAGAAUUAGGGUUCGAUUCCGGAGAGGGAGCCUGAGAAACGGCUACCACAUCUAAGGAAGGCAGCAGGCACGAAAAUUACCCAAUCCCAACUCGGGGAGGUAGUGACAAGAAAUAACGGUCCGGGGCCUUUUAGGUCUCGCAAUCGGAAUGAGUACAAUUUAAAUCCUUUAACGAGGAUCAAUUGGAGGGCAAGUCUGGUGCCAGCAGCCGCGGUAAUUCCAGCUCCAAUAGCGUAUAUUAAAGUUGUUGCAGUUAAAAAGCUCGUAGUUGGAUUUCGGAAUGGGCCAGUUGGUCCGCCGCAAGGUGAGUUACUGACUGGUUUGUUCUUCUUCGCAAAGACUGCGUGUGCUCUUUACUGAGUGUACGUAGGAUUUACGACGUUUACUUUGAAAAAAUUAGAGUGUUCAAAGCAGGCUAUCGCUUGAAUACAUGAGCAUGGAAUAAUGGAAUAGGACUUUGGUUCUAUUUUGUUGGUUUCUAGGACCGAAGUAAUGAUU
rnacentral:rRNA from 1 species